UUUGCCUUCAACAUAGGGAGGUGACAAAAUCUAAAGACGCAAUUCAAAAAACAGAACAUGCUUGUGAGGAUUGAUGGAUUGGAUCACGCAAGUAUAGAAAUUUGACUGGUCAACUCCAAUCACAAAGAGGCCUGAGAUGUACACGUGAUGGCGUCAUAUCCUGUUGCUCAUAAAAUUGAGUCAGAUUAUAAGCAGCGCGUAUCAUUGGUCAUUCCAAGAACAGUCACCAACUCACUGUAGCAACACCAUUUAAAGGGUCUUCUUGGAGCAGGUCUUAGCCCUGCAGUGGCAACAUGUCCUGGCUGUUUGUAUCUUCUGCCUGCUGGGAGAGGGGAGAAGACCGAAGACCCAGGGUGGGUGGGGUCUUUGAUUAUGCUGGCUGCUUUACUGAGGCAGUGAGACAUAUAGACCGAGCCCAUGGACGGGUGGCUGGUUUCCGUGAUGUGCCCAUACCUCUCUGCAGCUUCUGGUGGUCACAGGCCGAGCAGUUGCCGUGCCAUGCUGUGAUGCAUCCGGAUAUGACACUUUCAAUGGUGCCUCAAUAAAAAUCCGGUGAUGGUCAAAGGAAACUGUGGUGAACUACAUAUACCUGUCUGGACAUGCCCCCCCGCUGACUGCUCCUGUGGCUCCUCCCACGGACCCCGGUAUAAAGGCGACUGGAGGCACAGCCCCGGCCUCAGUCUCCAGGAUGUAGUAUGGUGGUCACUUGCUGCUUGUUCUUUCUUCCAGCCUAUAUCUCGCCUCACGUCUCCGAGAGUUAUUGAUGAUGCAUCAGAAACGUGCCGAGUUUCUUUGCCUCCUGAGGAAGCAGAGGUGUUGAUGAUGGGCUGUUCAGGAGAACGGAAUAACCCAGCGGAGAAUCUGGGUGGCUGGCCAGAAUGCUGGUCCUCACACGGGAGAAGAGUGGGGUCACUCUUCAUCCCAGGUUAGGAAUUUGACAACUUACAAACACUCAGAAUCAGGUUUAUUACCUUAUCAUGGUGAUAUAAAUUUUGUUUUGCAGCUGCAGUCAAGUAGAAAAACAUAAAAUUACUAUAAAUUACAAAUUAAACGAAUAGAGCAAAAAAAGGAUGAAGAACAUUGUGUUAAUGGACCAUGGGCCAUUCUGAAAUCUGAUGGUAGACGGGCAGAACAGAUGUCUGAACUGAUGAGUGGCUCCUUCACCUCCUCCCAGACACCAGCUGCUGGACGGGGAUGUUUCCCCAUCUAGUCUCUGUAGUUAGUAGAGAUAAGGAGGCCCUACCCAUUUGAUGCAUGACAAUGUGGGUCUUAGAAAAAUAGAGGGCUAUGGGUAACCCUAGGAAAGGGUAUGUUCGGCACAGCUUUAUGGGCUGAAGAGCCUGUAUUGUGCUGUAGGUUUUCUAUGUUUCUAUGACACAGUUGCUCACCUCCAACAGCCAAUUUCCUAUCAACUGUCAAAGCUGGUGCUUAAGGCAUCAUUGGUCUGAUGCCUGACUCAUGGGCAGUCGAUGGCAGAAGGUUUGAGCCAUGCAUCUUAUCUGUGAUUUACCUCGGCAGUUUGAUUCUAUUAUGUGUGAAGUGCUGCAUGUUAUGGAUGGUGUAACAUUGCUACACCAAACAUCUACAGGCACCGGUGUUUUGUAUAUAAUCUUAUGGCACCGAAAAUCAUUCAGCGUGUCAGUCCAGUUCUGGGAGUUUAAAUUCAUUAUCCCUUUUAAAAGGUUAUUAAUGUGCUUGCACAGCAGACCUCUCAAGAGCACCGCACAUCGC